ensembl:snoRNA LOC120102073 small nucleolar RNA SNORA17
ACUGUUCCCAGAGGCAUAAUAGGUGGGGAUGCUGGGUCACAUGUGCUGAGAGGAGACAGGCUGUAUCUAUACCCAGUGUUCUGACCUAGGGACAGCUGAAUGAUUCGUAGCCUAACAUG